rnacentral:rRNA from 1 species
GCUAUUUAGGUUAGAGUUUGAUCAUGGCUCAGAACGAACGCUGGCGGCAGGCCUCAAACAUGCAAGUCUAGGGGGUGUAGCAAUACAUCACCGGCGGACGGGUGCGUAACACGUGGGAAUAUACCUUUCGGUACGGAACAACUGAGGGAAACUUCAGCUAAUACCGUAUACGUCCUAACGGAGAAAGAUUUAUCGCCGAAGGAUUAGCCCGCGCUCGAUUAGCUAGUUGGUGAGGUAAUGGCUCACCAAGGCUACGAUCGAUAGCUGUUCUGAGAGGAAGAUCAGCCACACUGGGACUGAGACACGGCCCAGACUCCUACGGGAGGCAGCAGUUGGGAAUCUUGGACAAUGGGGGAAACCCUGAUCCAGCCAUGCCGCGUGAGUGAUGAAGGCCUUCGGGUUGUAAAGCUCUUUUACCCGGGAAGAUAAUGACUGUACCGGGAGAAUAAGCUCCGGCUAACUUCGUGCCAGCAGCCGCGGUAAUCGCC